GAUGAAGAACGUAGCGAAAUGCGAUAAGUAAUGUGAAUUGCAGAAUUCAGUGAAUCAUCGAAUCUUUGAACGCACAUUGCGCCCGCCAGUAUUCUGGCGGGCAUGCCUGUUCGAGCGUCAUUACAACCCUCAGGCCCCCGGGCCUGGCGUUGGGGAUCGGCGGAGCCCCCCGUGGGCACACGCCGUCCCCCAAAUGCAGUGGCGGUCCCGCCGCAGCUUCCAUCGCGUAGUAGCUAACACCUCGCGACUGGAGAGCAGCGCGGCCACGCCGUAAAACACCCAACUCUUCUGAAGUUGACCUCGAAUCAGGUAGGAAUACCCGCUGAACUUAAGCAUAUCAAUAAGCGGAGGA
rnacentral:misc_RNA from 1 species